CAGCCCUGGAGCUCUGAGGUCUCAGGAACAACCCUCUUCUCCCCGAAUCUGCACAGUGAUGUCAUUUCUACUGCAGGAACCCAGCUCCCCAGAGCUUCCACCCUGCUCUUCCCAUGCAUUCUUCACUCUCCAACCCCACGAUCCUCGUCCUAGCAUGUAUAUUAACCUCUGAAGUAGCUUCAGGUUUUAAAUAGCCGUCUCUACAAUCAACCAUAUCCUUUCUAUGUGGAGAUUUAAGCAGGUCAGCAGUCUGGAUGAUGCUCAGAUACCACUGGUUGUGCCAGGCAGUGCCAAACACCCCUGGAAGCCUCUGCCAAGGACCCCAAAUCCAGAUUCAUGCUUCAGUUCAGGUGAUGUUUUGAUAGCUGCCCAACUGCAGAGAACAGCACAGUGCACUGCGCCUCUGAGACAAGCUACAUUGGAAGACAGCUGUCUGGGAGCCGGAGGAAGCCGGGAUGGAAGCAGCCAUGCUCAGGGGUCUUCUCUGGCCACCAUGAUGUCUGGCUUCUCCAGAAUCUCGAAGUGGAGGCACUUGUGAAAGGAAAUGUAAAUCUUACCACUGAGGGUAAGGCUUCCUCCAAGAGACACACAGAGGUACUGUUGUGACUGAGAGGCCCCUCCUUGUGAUGUGCUGACACCCAUGAUGGAACUACACCCGACUUCCAAUGGUCAUGAGGACUCCACACCCUAGGGGAUAUUAUGGCACCUCCUGAGAACUCUUCAUGUUUCACUUGGGAAAGAAGCUGGCAACUCCAUGUUUACCUCUCAGCGUGUUAGAAGCUAACUGCAGCUGUUGUGGGGAAUGAGUUGGCUCAGUGUCUUCUCUUACGGAACUGAGGAAAGUGCCUCGUGGUGUAGAUGCAGAGGUGACCUCUGUGGAGGACCUGUGCCUGUCCGUCUCUCUUUCUAGCCCUGGUGGGGAAAUAGGCUAUGGAUUUCUACAGAAUAGGUGAGACCUUUUCUUCAAACGCAAGUCACCCAGCCAGAGUUUUUGUCUCAGAUCCUGACAAGAGAACACAAUCCCUCUGCGAGGCUCUCGUGUCUGUGAGUGCUGUCUGGGUCGAUUAUCGUCACCUGGCCAGGGCCCCUGCUCUCACAGGGAGGCCAUGUCAAUAAGCCAAGCCAUCCAAGACUUCAUGUGGCUGCAAUUAGGCCCUUUCCUGCAGGCGCUGAGAAUCUGGACACAUUGUGGAUCAACCCACCCCACUGAGAAGGUGGGUGAGCAGAGAGAGCAAGAGAAAAGAGCUUGCCAGGGUCCAGGAGACACAGCUGAACUCGGCCUUCUUCUCUUCAGCCGUGAUUUUUAUUAUGCCCUAUCGAUUUUCCUGUUAUUUCUCAUUUUUUGAGCAGAGUAGCUUGAAGCAAUAGUGGUAAUAAAGCAAUGUUGCUGUCACUCAUCAGUCUUUCUCACCCCCACACGUGUUCCUCCCAUCAUACAUGCACAAGUACAUGCACUCUUCAGGGUGAACUUUACAAACACACGAAAUAAGACUAGAGUUUCUAGAGCAGCCAGAGGACCUUGCCUUUCUAGUCAAGGACAUUUAGCACUGUGCUUAGACUGAAAUGAAAUGGCUUGUCUUGUACACUGAUCUGCACAUGUCCCUCCCCAGCAGGAAGCCCUGUGGAUCCAACACUUAGAAUUUCAAUUUGUAGGUACUUUUCAUAGCACUCUGAAGUUUUUUUUGCUAGGUUGUGUGAUGGUUGAACAGCACCUGUAGCCAGGCAUGGUGGCACACACCUGUAAAUCCUACACUUGGGAGACCAAGGGAAGAAAGAGAUCAAGAGUUCUAAGGCAGCUUAGUUAUAUAUCAAGACUCUUAUCUUUUUUAAAAAAGGAGAUGGGAAAAGGAAAAGAAAUAAAUACAGCUGCAGAAGAAACGAAGAGUGGCAGAUUUGGUGUGAUCGUCAUCCAUUCUAGGGGUAAAAAGGAAAGCUGUGCUGUAACUCAAAGAUAAGAUCCAAGUAUACCCCAAUGUACAUUCCAGAUGACCACAGAACUGUGACCAGCGUGGGGUAUCAUUGCCAUGGUGAGUUUGAGUUACGUAGCUUGGUGACCUUAGGAAAGGGAGACUGUGAGAGCCAGGGUUGGCCUGAACAGACAAGAGUCAUCUUCAAUACAGAGAUCCAGUGCAUGCUGGGACUUUGCACAAGGGCGUGCUCCAUUGCUGAUUUUGACAUAGCUGGGUAAAAGGUCAAGGACUGUGAGGGGCUCCUAGACCUGGGACCAGUCCCAGCUAACAGCAAGAAAACAAAGAGGGAUUACAGACUACUUUUCUGAAAGAAACCUCAUUACUCCAAGAACAAGGCUGAACCUGUGUGAGGAUCCCAAGGGCCAUCAAAACACAGCUCCCCCAGCACCUUAACUGUGGUCUUAGGAGAUCUUGAGAGGAGAUCAAAGCUCUAUCCUGGCCGGACUUACAAACUGAUGAGCUAAUAGAUGUUAACAUGU